rnacentral:rRNA from 1 species
AACGAACGCUGGCGGCAGGCUUAACACAUGCAAGUCGAACGCCCCGCAAGGGGAGUGGCAGACGGGUGAGUACCGCGUGGGAACAUACCCUUUUCUACGGAAUAGCUCUGGGAAACUGGAAUUAAUACCGUAUACGCCCUACGGGGGAAAGAUUUAUCGGGGAAGGAUUGGCCCGCGUUGGAUUAGCUAGUUGGUGGGGUAAAGGCCUACCAAGGCGACGAUCCAUAGCUGGUCUGAGAGGAUGAUCAGCCACAUUGGGACUGAGACACGGCCCAAACUCCUACGGGAGGCAGCAGUGGGGAAUAUUGGACAAUGGGCGCAAGCCUGAUCCAGCCAUGCCGCGUGAGUGAUGAAGGCCUUAGGGUUGUAAAGCUCUUUCACCGAUGAAGAUAAUGACGGUAGUCGGAGAAGAAGCCCCGGCUAACUUCGUG